CUGAGUAACACGUAGUCCAUUCGGCCCGGCGGAGGGAAUAGCCUUCGGGAAUCUGAGGUGGCGACCCGGAUAGGUCAGUCUAUGCUGGAAUGCCUGAUGGUUCAAAUCUUCUGGUGAUUGGAGCCAGAUGGCCAAUGGAUGAGACUGCGGCAGAUUUAGUUAGUUGUUGAGGUAACGGCUCACCAAGCCGAUAAUCUGUAGGGGCAAUGGGAGUUGUAGCCCCCAGAAGGGCACUGAGACAAGGGCCCUAGUCCUACGGGAUGCAGCAGGCGCGAAACCUUUGCCAUGCGCGAAAGCGUGACAGGGGAACUCCGAGUGGUAGAAGGUUUUACUUUCUAUCUUUUUGUCAAUCCAAACCAUUGGCAGAAUAAGAUCUGGGUAAGGCCAGUGCCAGCCGCCAUGCUGGGAGUGUUCACACCCCCGGCACGGUAUGCGGUAAUACUGGCAGAGCAAGUGGUACCCACGAAUAUUGGGUCUAAAGAGUCCGUAGCGGGCCGACUAAGUCCACUGUGAAAUCUGGCGGCGUAACCGUCAGGCGGGCAGUGGAUACUGGUA
rnacentral:rRNA from 1 species